AAAAAACGAGAAGCGGGACUAUGAAAACCCAAAUGACCGAAGGCGGGGAGGAAGGCGCCAAUUCAAAAGGAAAAAAAAAAUUAAAGAUAAAACCUAAGGAAACAGAAAUCUAUCUUUUUCGCACUUCUCUAUCUCUGACGGCGUUCUACGAAAGCUCUGUCUCUAAGGCUCCUCUGAAUCUCUCAUCUUUGAAGUUCUCAUCUCUGCUAGGUUAUUCGUUGCUCUUCCAAUUAUUGAAAUUUUUGGAUUCGAUACAGCUCGAUUGAUCAAAGCGCCAACCAUCGCAUUUUUUGCUCUGUUAAACAACAGGUCAAUUGCACUGCACUUGACAAAGUUUAAAGUUUCUGUUUGGGAUUUCACCCUCUGAUAGGCCUGUGUGGCAACAAUUCAUUAUUUGCUCUUCUGGGUUGUUCUUUGGUUACCUUGUCAAUUGCGUCUGUGAGGUUUGUUUCCAAUUCAAUUUGAUCAUUUUGAAUUAUGUUCAAAUGUUUCUUCAUUCUCAGAUAUGAUUAAUUGUUCGUUGUGAACAUUUUCUCAAUUUUCCUUUGUUGUUGUUCUUAGUUUCAUUUUUCACUGUUUGAUUGGUGAAAAUUCAGUAGGAGAAAUUGGAUUGGAAUAAUGAGUAUGCUGCAUUCUAUUCCAAAUAGUUGUGUGGUGACUUUGCUGUUUAUAAAAAAUCUUAAGGUCAUGAACUUUUCUCAGCUACCUAAACAGAGUUUUGGGACACUGUUUAGGUAAAAAUGGGUUUUCCUUGCCAUGUUUUUGUUUUCCAAUAUCAAAUCAGCUUUUCUUAGUUGUCAUGUUUGUAUGCUCUUCUAUCUUUGGUUCAGUUCUCCUUUCAUUGAUUUUUCUUUGUCACAAACAGAGUUUAGAAUAACGUUUUGGUGAAAUAUGCACGCUUUAUACUGUCAGUACAUCUAUGAUUGUUUUAUCAUCUCUGUUUUUGGCCUAACAUUACGUUUUUGUUCUGCUUGAUCACAAAUAUUGUUAAUGCUCUUCAUUUUUUUUCUUUGUCUAAGCCAAGGGUAAUGUCUUGGUCCCCCUGACUUAUUUUACUUGAACUUCUAUCAGUUCCAUUGGAGAUUCUUGAUAUUAAUUAGUAAUUUCUCACUGUGUAACCUGCUAGUUUUCCGAAAAGAAGGAAGAGGAAAUCAAUUCUGGGAUUGUAAAUUUCAUUGAUAGAGGUCGUUGUGUAUCAAAACGUAAAUACUGAUGCUUUAUUCUUUUAUAGUAAUCUGAAUGUGGGCUGUUUGUUUUAAUUUUUUUUCGAAAAGAGACGCUGGUAUGUCUUGAAAAAUGGAGAUCUUGCAUUUUUUUUUUUUGGAUGACAAUUGCUAGAUACUAGGUUUAAAGUGCUUGUUUGUUAAGAUGCGCCGUUCUAAUGUGUCUAACAUCCAAAAGCCUACUACUGAUACAUAUUGUAUUUUGUUUUUUUAUAAGUUUAUAAUUCAUUUAGCUGAUUGAUUAAUUAAUAAUUUAAUUUAACAUGUAUGUAUAACAACAAGAAAUGCACCGAGUAAACGCUCUCAUGUGCAAACUACUGAUCAGCCAUGCCCAAAUGGAUCCCGUUCUACUUCAGGUAGUGCAAUGAGUAAACACUUUCGUGUGCAAACAACUGACCAGCCAUGCGAAAAUUCUGUAGAAGAUAGACUCAAUUCUGCUAUUGGUACCACUACAGAACGAAUUACUACUGGUAAGUAGUAUUGCAGUCUUCUUGAAUUCAAUUUUUGUCACUUUAAUUAUUUAUGUACUAAGAAGUAUAGGGAAAAGAGAGCGAAAUGCAAUUUUGUUUUCAUGAAUUGCAAAUUAGAAGGGUAUACCUAAAUUAUAUGUAUAAUGAUAGGGGUCAGAAUUAGUUCACGUCUUCAGCAUCAAACUGCUAAUGAUCAGCUAUUGAUAAAUGUUACAACUGCAUGUAGAGCGAAAUGAUAAUGUGAUGUCAGCCAGUAAUCAAGACCCUCCUACAUGUAUAUACAAUAUUAUAUAUAUAUCGUUAUAUUUUGAGAACUAAAUAUAUUUGUGUACAUUAAUUAAGAAUUAUGUUAAAGGUCCAACAAAAAAGGUUGGGGGAAAGACAAGAGGAGUGAAUGCAGAUAAGAUGCUUUCUCAAUUGAAUGCUAAAAUACAUGUCACUCUGACCAAACAAAAUGGUAGGCCUACAGGCCCAUAUGCUGAAAUGUUGGCCAAUGAAAUUGGUUUCACAGUUCGAAACCAUGCCCCACUAAAUGUGGAAAAAUGGAAGAAGAUUCCGAAAAUUGAAGUGAAUAAGUUGGUUAAAAGAAUAACGGUGAGUGAUGAUUUGUUUUUCUAAAAUGUAAGUUUACAUUGAUUGCUUUAAUCAAAUAUUUUGUUUGACAUAAAAUUAUUUAUAUGCAAAAAAAGUUUGACAUUGACAUGUCUCUCCCUUGGGUCGAGAGAUAUGUAAUUACAACAUGUCAGACUGUAUUUUGUAAUUUUCGUUAUAAGUUGAAGAAACAUUUUGAGAAAUUUUCAACAAUCGAGGAAGCAAUUGAAAACAAAUACAAUGAUGUCAAGACUCAGGAAGAAUGAGAGUUUCUCUGUGCUCGUUUUUCUAGUGAAAAGUUUCAGAUUCGUUCAGAGAAGAAUGCUAUAAAUAGGUCAAAGUUGACACAUCACUACAAAUCUGGGUCAAAGUCCUCUAUGUCUCACCAAGAGCAAAUUGCAGCACAGACUGGAGAGAGGCAAGGUGCAAUUGAUCGCUUUGAAACAGAGUACAAAAGCACUAAAAAAGGUUGGGACUUGGGAGCAGAAGCAAAGUGGGAUGAAAUGAUUAAGAUGUGAACUGAGACAACUCAACCUGAUGGAACUUGGACAAUGACAGUUAAUGAAAUUUGUACAAAAGUCCUUGGAGUCAAAUCAGGCUACAUCAAGGGUUGUGGUUUUGGCCCUAGAUCUCCACCAUCAAGGGUCUCUCACUCGUCGAUAAAUGAAAUGUCUGAAAAGAACAAAGAGUUGCAAGAACAGCUUCAAGAGACCCAACACCUUGUAGGGAAUCAACAACAAAAAAUUGAUGCACAAAAUGAAGUGAUCCAAAGAUUGGAGGAGCAAACCAAAAAGUUUGAGGAGUUCAUGGCUAACUUUUCCAGGCAACAGCCAUCAAGUUAGUAUCUUUAUUAGAGAACUUAAACAUGGACAAAUAAUUUUUUAGAUCAUCUUGAUUUUGUUAUUGGUUUUAGACUAUUUUUGUUACUCCUUAUGUUAGGAAACACUUUGAUUGUUACUUUGGUUUUAUUAUUAUGAGAUUUAUUAUUGGUU